rnacentral:snRNA from 1 species
AAAAAUAGAGUUAGCUUAAAUGGUA